rnacentral:lncRNA from 1 species
GAGUUUCUCCUAACCUUGUCUAGAAUGACUUUCCAUACAAGGGAUAUGCCCUAGCUAUUCAAAGCAUUUGCCCUCAUUCAUAGACUUAAGCAUAAUUCGAAUCAAACAAUUGUCAAGUCUUCUCAACACAACAAACAAUAAGGCAUCAUUGUAAUACCCCAAAAUUUACCCUUCAUUUUUCCUGAAAAAAAAAACGAAAAAAAAAAC